UACAGAGGUGGCAAGCGUUGUUCGGAAUUACUGGGCGUAAAGGGCGCGUAGGCGCCUUGUCAGUCAGACGUGAAAUCCCCAGGCUUAACCUGGGAACUGCGUCUGAUACUACAAGGCUGGAGUGCGGGAGAGGGAUGUGGAAUUCCAGGUGUAGCGGUGAAAUGCGUAGAUAUCUGGAGGAACACCGGUGGCGAAGGCGGCAUCCUGGACCGACACUGACGCUGAGGCGCGAAAGCUAGGGGAGCAAACGGG
rnacentral:rRNA from 1 species